rnacentral:rRNA from 1 species
GACAGAGGUCCCGAGCGUUAGGCGGAAUCACUGGGCUUAAAGCGUGUGUAGGCGGAUGCCUAAGUACCUUGUGAAAUCCCACGGCUCACCCGUGGAACUGCUUGGUAUACUGGGUGUCUUGAGCCACUUAGGGGCUACCGGAACAAAUGGUGGAGCGGUGAAAUGCGUAGAGAUCUGGAGGAAUACCGGUGGCGAAGGCGGCCCCCUGGACAAAGACUGACGCUCAGGUGCGAAAGCGUGGGGAGCAAACAGG